CCUGUUUGCAGGAUGGAAAAUUUGUCCUACUCGAGUAAACAUGGCAUGAGAUGCAGUUUGGAAUAGCUAUUUGAUCAUCAGUAUAAUGUGGGGCUACUUCUGUUCAACAAAAAGGAGUGGAACCUGAAGUUUGAAGAGAUAGGUCAAGCAUUAUUAGAAGUGCGACAGCUUAUCCAACAAGAACAAUCAGCACACCUGAUUGCAAUGUCUAAAGCUAAGAAGAAAGAGGAAAAUCUGAGGAAAGCUUUGGCUUUUGAAAGGCAGUGUGUGGAAAAUCUUGAGAAGGCUCUGCACAAAAUACAUAGUGAGCAGGACCGAAUAAAGCUUGAUUCUGAGAAGAAGUUGUCUCAAGCAAGUGCUUUGACUAUUGGAAUGGAGGAUAGGUCAUUGGAGGUGAAUGAGACACUGCACGAUGUUGAUGCCAAACUUUGUAGGUCAGCAGAAAAAGUUCACAAUUGGAAUUGAAGAUGCAAGAGAUGGAGGCACGCGAAAGUGUACUUUGAAGGGAGCAUUUUCCUUUGAAAACUGAGCAGGAAGCACACGGGGCUGCAUCUUAUAAACAGAGAGAAAAUUUACAAGAGUGGGAUCAAAAGUUGCAGGAAAGGGAAAAAAAAGCUGUGUGAGGAUAGGAGAAUCCUUAACAUGAAGGAGGG